rnacentral:lncRNA from 1 species
CUGAUGGUGUUUAUUUAUUAAAACAUAUAGCAGAGGACAAGGUUUACAAAGGGUCAAAAUUAGCCUAAUCUGGCCAUAAUACCACUACUAUUUAUACACUGUAAUUUCUUAUUUGCACAACACAUUAUUAACUACAAAGUUAUGUCCCCUUACACAUGCAUUAUUUUAGUUAAAUGCCAAUUUUGGUCCUCUUUUUAAUAAUUAUAACAGUUUAUGGAAAAUGUUAACUUUGGCCAACAUCAUUGCUUCCCAAAUUUGUUAUGUCCAAUGAUUCAAUAUAAACAUUGGCACCUUUUGGUUACAGAAAACUUUGGAUGGCAAGUUGUGGCCAAUGUUUUCAUGAAGGUUUUUUUUUUUUAUCACAGAAAUACACAUAAGCAUUGUUUUUUUUACAUCUUUAAAUAAUGCUGACUUUGGGACAAUAUUCAUUUAUAUGAAAGAAUUGAUUUAUCAGGCAUUUAGGAUUUUAAAAUUGAUCCCUUUUAAAACCAAGUAGCGAUUUUUUUUUAUCAUUAAUGAUAAUGUUGAAAUCCAUGGCCAUAUUUGGGUAAAAGUGAACCUUAUCCUAUGCUGUAGUUGGAAAUUGAUUAAUGUUUGGUAGCAGAAUAAAAAGUAUGUGUCCCUUGUUGUAAUACAAUUGUAUGUGCUGAAGUUAAGUUAAAAAAUAAUCAAUCAAAUUCAAUCAAUUAAAAACUAUAAAAAAUAGACAAUCAUGUGAUUUUGUACAAAUAUCUAAAUGCUGUACAUUUGUACCAACAAAAAUUCUCUCAUCCACAACUUUUUAAAUUGA